AGAACUUCACCCCUCGGACGGUGGUGCCGUGGAACAUGUUCUGCUUCACGUUCACCGCCACCGGCACGAUGCGGUCGCUGAGUUCCGCGAACAGUGCGCUAAACCGGAGGAGGUAGGGCUCGCGGCAGGUGGUCCCCUCUGGGCAGACCACGAGGUCGCCCUUCUGGAGAAUGGAGGAGAUGCGGGCAGCGUCGGCGGCGCGGUCGCGGGUGAGGGCGACGGCGGGGAUGGGGGAGAGGAAGCGAGAGAGGCGGCUGACGCUGUAGGUGACGCAGGAGACCUUGCGGCGGAGGGCGAUGGCGAUGACGAUGGGGUCCAAGGCGGUGCGGUGGUUGCAGACGUAGAGGUUGCCGGGGGAACCUGGGGAGGGGGGCGGAGGAGGGUUGCCUCGGAUAACAAGGUUGAUGCCCAGCAUCGGGUAGGUGUAGCGGACGAUGCGCUCUGGGAGGGGGAGGUUGAAGUAGACUCGGAAGAUAGAGAGUGCAAACCCAAAUGGAAGCCAGAGGUAGAUGAUGAGGGCCGUGAGUGGCGUGGGGGGUUGGACGAACCGACCAUCGUGGAAUAUUAUUGGGGUUUUCA
rnacentral:lncRNA from 1 species